GUGUUAAGCCAAAUUAAAAUAUUAAUUAAAUUAAUUAAUUAACCUAAAUUAAAUUAAUGGAAUUUUGUAUCCUUAGUGUUAACAAUGCAAGCCUCUAGCCUAUGAUCUAUUAAAUCCCUAAUUAAUAAACAGAAGAUUAGCUAAUUUCAGAAAUUGGGUUUUAAUAGGAAUUAUAUAUUAAUUAACUAGUAUUACCUCUCAG
rnacentral:lncRNA from 1 species